rnacentral:lncRNA from 1 species
CCUGUUAACAUAUAAGCAAUGAGGAAAAGCAAUAGAAUCUUCCAAAAGUUUCGAACCUCAUGAACAAACCCAUUUCAUACAACAAAGUAAAUAAAUGACAGAGCCAAAGCCUGGUAGAGAUUAUAUAUGGAAAGAGUUCAUCCUGACAGACAUGAAAGAAAAUAUGUUAUGUAGAACUCUGAAGAAGCAUUCAAACACCCAAUUACAUAUCUGAUGCCAACAGUUCCAUCAAAAUCGAAUGUUUAAUUAAUCGUAAAUUACUAACAUCAUCAGAAGCCGGUACAUGGCAGUCUUUACUAGGAGGAUUUUAGAAAGUGUCUAUCCAAGAUUGGACCUUUUUAAGCAUAACUACUUCGGGGAAAGGCCCGGUGGACU